rnacentral:ncRNA from 12 species
CACAGAGUCCAGUGGGGCAAUAGUUUAAGGACAUUGCCGAGAGAUAUUGUAUCAAAGAAGUUUAAUUCCUGUAACAUAGUGAUUAUGUUAUAAACACAUAAAUAAUGAUUUUGUUUUAGUAGUAAAAUGGCGAAAAUCCGAAAUCAUU